rnacentral:lncRNA from 1 species
AAUUUUCUUUUUCAACCACAAGAUAAAUGGAUCUCUGAUCCGUUCUUCCCUAACAACAAAAAGACAUUUGCUGAAUAUUAUGUGAGAUUGGAUGUGAAAAGGAUAAAAAGAAAAACCAAUACAAAAGUAUCACAAAAGAAAAACUAUUUGUUCUUGAAACGUUACUUUUUUUUUUUGAGUUGAGAUAUCAUGGCCCGAUUAUUAUUACAGAGUUUUUUUUACCAUAAAAUUUAGCCUUCGGGGUCAACUCGUCAGUUCCUAUGAGGAAGACAACGCAAAGGAGGCUUGAGAAUUUGUUAAGGAAGGCGGCAAGGCC